rnacentral:rRNA from 1 species
UACGUAGGGGGCUAGCGUUGCUCGGAAUCACUGGGCGUAAAGCGCACGUAGGCGGCUUCUUAAGUCAGGGGUGAAAUCCUGGAGCUCAACUCCAGAACUGCCUUUGAUACUGAGAGUCUUGAGUUCGGGAGAGGUGAGUGGAACUGCGAGUGUAGAGGUGAAAUUCGUAGAUAUUCGCAAGAACACCAGUGGCGAAGGCGGCUCACUGGCCCGAUACUGACGCUGAGGCACGAAAGCGUGGGGAGCAAACAGG